rnacentral:misc_RNA from 1 species
CAGAGUUCAUGCCCUUACGGGUAGAUCUCCCACCCUAUGUUACCAUUACCUUUGUUGCUUUGGCGGGCCGCCAGGCCUUGGUCAGGCUACUGGCUCCGGCUAGUAAGUGCCCGCCAGAGGACCCCCAACUCUGAAUGUUAGUGUCGUCUGAGUACUAUAUAAUAGUUA